GGUUUCCGUAGGUGAACNUGCGGAAGGAUCAUUGUCGAAAACUGCACGUUUAAGCCACACAUGCUAACUUGUUUUUUAAAAAAUUCCUUGUUGUUUGUAGGAAGGUUGCCUUGGCUGCCUCCUAUGAUGACAUGAAAAAAUUUCGGCGCGGAAUGCGUCAAGGAAAAUAGACAUUAAUGAAGGCUAGCCCUCUUGUUGCUGUUUUGUUGCAUUUAGGGUGUUGCGUCGUUGAAAUAUAUUUGGUUGAAUGACUCUCGGCAACGGAUAUCUCGGCUCUUGCAUCGAUGAAGAACGUAGCGAAAUGCGAUACUUGGUGUGAAUUGCAGAAUCCCGUGAACCAUCGAGUCUUUGAACGCAAGUUGCGCCUGAAGCUAUUUGGCUGAGGGCACGUCUUCCUGGGUGUCAUUCUCUGCGCUGCCCCUUCACCCUCCUACUGUGUUGAUGUGAGUGGGCGGAGAUUGGUCUCCUAUGUGUCUUGCGCACAUGGGUGUCUUAAACACGGAGCAUGAUGUAGUGAUCACUGUGAUGAUCGGUGGUUGAAUGGGCCUUUAGCCCUAGAAGCAUCUUUGUCAGGAAGUGUCGUGUUGAGAUUGCUACAAGGAUUUGAAUUGUUUGAAAUCAGUGUCAAUAAAUUGGUACGAUUAGUCAACAGUUGC
rnacentral:rRNA from 1 species